rnacentral:lncRNA from 1 species
CACAAAAAUAGGAAACAUUUCCUUAAAGAACAAACACUCGGGUUGUGCCUGCGUGCAUUCUGACUCCCUGAAUCCGUACCCCGCUGGUGAGAGAAAUUAUCCUCAAGAAUCUGGUGGUUUCUCUGCCUUUUCCUCUUCCACUUGGACCUGUCCUUCCAUUUGCUCAGCAGAAUGGGAGCUACCUGUGAGCCAGGUGGCCCCCGCCCCACCUCCCAGGACCCAGAGCGAAGACCCUUUUCUCUGGGCCAAAAGGCAGAAAUACCAUCUGGAAGGCAAAAAGAUAUAUAUAUCUUUGGAGCCUCGGUCUUUAAAAGCAUCUGUUUGCCUGUUGAGAAGCUCUCCCACAAGCCAGAAACGUGAACUAAAGUGAACUGAGGUUUCCUCGUGGUCUUUGGCAAGCCCAGGGGUUCCAGAAGCGUCUACCUGUUUUAUUUGCAGAGAACAAGAUGUGUAUGAUGAGGCUGCUUUCUUGGUACCUGCUUCCUGUCUCAAUUUUCAGCUGACAAAUGGUCUUCUCUCUGCGCUUAGCCUAAAGAGCCUAAUGAAAGAUGCUGAGCCCCGUUUUGACCAUGAUGCUUCAUCCCCACCUCCCAGCCAUAGAGUCCUGAAGUGAUGGAUCUCAGGACUGGGAGAGAGAGAUUUAUCUUUUAUUCCAAAUGCCUUCUCUCAGUGUAAGUCCAGACUCAGGUCAUAAAUCAAAGAGAGUUUGGCUCUCAACCCAUAGCGAGGAGCCUCCCUGGGACUGAAUGAGGGCGUGACCUGAAAAGUAAGGUGUGACCCCCCCCCCCCCCGAGCACAGCUCUGCGGCUUGGUGCGUGGCCACACGCUGGGAAGUCUUGUUCCACUGGACCCUCGCCUCCCAUCCCCAUGGGAGCUGCUGGGUUCUGCUGGUCCAGCUGGAGAUCUCAAACCAUAUUGGGUCAUUUCACUGCACUGACUAUGCCUCUAAAAGCCCCUGGUGAUGAUAUUAUUUGCCGUGUUCCACUGAGAUCUACAGAAGGUCUAAAACCCCACUGCAGAAAGAAGGGGCCCCUUCUCCCAUGAUGCCCUGAUGACACAGAUGGACUCGAGCUUCUAGACUUUGGCAGGUACUUCUUAUGUUACCAGGAGGACUUCAGAGCCGCCUUCCCUGGAGAACAUCUGUCUGGAAUGACCUCAGUCUGAUCAGAGAUUUCUCAUUGGCCUCUUCCAUGAUCCUUACGGGGCUAAGGGUCCUGUUAAGUCCUUAAAAUCCUAAAGACCUCGCCAUACCACCCUCCCUCACCACCUCGACUCCCCCCAGAGGGGGAAAACAAAACAGAAAAGAAGCCUCGUUCCGCAGCCAGGGUUUUCCAUUUGAAUCAUUUAAAGCAAUGGCGAAAAAGAGGAGACCUCGGGCUGCCUCUUAUGGAUGGACUCUGUCUCCGUGACAAUUUAAAUGUCAGAACUGUGCAGCUUCGCUUCCGGCUUCCUUUGACCAAGUCACUCAGGGGACUGUCCUUGGUUUGGGGGCCUUGUCGUAGACACUUGGCUGGGAGGGGAAAGGUCAGGUACACAAACCAGCCAAGGCUUUCUCUGGGUAGCCUAUGCGCUGUGCUAUGUCUGUGAUCAUUUUAACAGCUGUGGUGGGCUUGGGACCCUCUUUAUAAGGUCUCAAGAGACAUGCUAACAGUGCUCCGAAAGUCUUGAAGGCAAAAUUAAUUCGAUUCAGUUGGCUUGAAAUAUAAUCCCAAGAACCAGGUUUUGCCAGUCCUGCAAAGGCAGUCCUGUGAAACCGGGAAAGACUUGCUUGGCAUCCUGUCCCCUGCCGCUGCCUCGGGUAACUUAUCCACGGACCACAUUCCCCCACACCUACCCCCGAUCCCAUGCUGGGCGCAGCCCUCACCCACCCCUCUGCCUUGAGCGUGAUGGGUUGGCUUUCAAACCUGUGCUUCUCGAGUUGUUAGACGUUAUCGUCCAAGUAAAACGGAUGCAGAGGCUGGAGUUUUCCAGGGGAGGAGAGCAGCAGGAUAAUUAGGAAGGAAUGUUCCAGAGAAUGUGAAAUUCAAGUGUGAGGUCGUUGCUCCAUCCCUGGACCAGAGAGUCAAAGAAAAUUUUCAAAGGGCUGCAGAGGCUGACUGCCGAACAUUUCCCCGGGAUAUCUGGUCUACCCUGGGAACAUGCAGGGGCUUGAGUGCCAUGGGGCUGCUGGCUGCCCACCAACCAACCUGAUCCCAAUGCCAUGCGCUGGGAACGUCAAGAGGAGGCUGGUAGCUUGCCUUUCCUGACAGCCGCCAAGCCCAAGAGGCCUUUCCCAGGCAUCUGGGCACAGACCUGUGGAACUGAAGAUGGGAGAGAAAAGCUUAGCACUGACUGUGUAAGCAGCACUAUCAGCCAGGAAGGGCACAGGAGGCGGGACCCCAGGUGCCUCUGCCACCCACCAGCCAGAUAAUUUAGAGUGACUUCCCUUCCUGGUCUCAGGUUGCUCAUCUCUAAAGCAAACAGAAGGGUUAACCAGAGGUCUCGGAAGGGCCCUCCUAUCUGAAACAAAUCAAAGUAAAUGAGAGAGUUCCUAGCUCCCCCAUGAAUUGCAUUAGGGGCUGAUAGUUCCUUUUUUUUUUUUUUUUUUUAACCCAAGUCCCAAGAGGCAGUUGUAAUAAAGUGUCCCUUUUGGAGUCCAUUGUCUGUUGAUAAAAUGAUGCACGUCAGCUUCUGUUGAGUGUGUCUUGUAGGCAAGAGCUUUUGUAUACUCCCUAAGGACUUGCUGAUUCAAGGGAGCAUCCAAGAUGGGCUUUGUGUCCUGUCUGAGCCAGGGUCAACAUGAAGGGGGAGAGAUCCCCUUCCCACAGGUCACGUGAGUCAGAAUUCCUGCCUAAGGAGGGUAAAAUAAAGCCAGAUUCCGGGAAGAGAUGCUAUUUCCCCAUCUGACAAAGCCUAACUGGAAGCUACUGACUAAACAGCACAACUUCUGAUCAUGUCUUUUCUUUUCUUUUUUCUUCUGGACCCUGGAACAGCAGUUCUGGUAUAUGGGAUAGUGGUUUGUACUUAUUGGCAACGCUGCAGAAGGAAAAGUGUCAUGAUCCCUGGGUGAUGGUUAGGAAUUCGAUCCACAGCCUAGGGAGACCAGACACCUGCAGGGGUCCUUUGAUGGGUGAUGAGCGAUGCUGAGCCCAGGUGCCUACUUUAGAUGGGAUCCAACCAUGUUGAGGGAUAAAGGUCAGGGAGGAGCUGCAGGAGCCACAAAAGUCUCGUUUUUCUUGCCAGCAACAACCUCAAAUCCUAGGUGUCUCUCCUUCCUCCCCCUCCUGUGGAAGUAAAUGAAGGUCCUUGUCGUUGUUUUCGCAAGCUCUGCUGCUUUUCCUUCGAAAGACCUAGAUUGGCCAGGGAGGGGCUCUCUCAGCUCCUGAUGGAAAUUUACACUGUCUCGCAGCGUUCUCCAAGGAAAGUCCAAGAAUGUUCUUUCUUUCUGACGUGGAAAUCAGGCUUCAGGGGUCCUUGAAUGGCUUCUCAGUGGGGUUUGCGUUUCUCCCCCAGUUCUGAAUCCAAGAAGAAGCAGCUCUUUCUCCUCCAAGGACAAAGCAAGGACAGGGCCCUUGGAAGGAAAUCAGCCCCCAGAAACCUGGCCAGGGCGUGGCUUGGCAAGUUGUCAUCUGCUGGAGGUGGGGGCUAUUGCGAUCCUAGCAUCAUUAGGAUCCUUAGGUCAGAGGUCAAUGGCUGGAUGCAAACUGGAGCACAGCUGAGGAGCUUUACAACCGGGAUGACCGGAGCUGGGCAGAUCUCACAUCCAGAAGAAGCCACGAAGACUGAAGUCCCGGGUCACAACCUCCCCAGUUACCUCAUUCACGUCCCUUUUUCUUUGUCGUUCAGGUUGGGUUGGUGAUUUCCACUAGUAAACGAUGAGCGAGUCAGCAGAUUAGUCAAAAGAAAAUCUUUAUAUCAAAUGUAAAUACUAAUAUAAAUUAACCUGGCAUGCCACUUCACGGAGUCCAUGAAGUACGUAUAUAUAAAGGAAAACCAACUGCCAUAUUUACCAGAUGUUUUCUCUAACCAAACUUGUCUGUAAAUAUAUAAUCUGUAUAAAAAAAGAGUCUAAUUUACCAUUAUUUAUGCAAUAGAAAAAAAAAUAAACGUUUUCUGUUUUCUUU